rnacentral:rRNA from 1 species
UACAGAGGUCCCAAGCGUUGUUCGGAUUCACUGGGCGUAAAGGGUGUGUAGGUGGCCAGGUAAGUUUGGUGUGAAAGCUCGGAGCUUAACUCCGAAAAGUCAUUGAAUACUAUCUGGCUGGAGGGUCGGAGGGGAGACUGGAAUUCUCGGUGUAGCAGUGAAAUGCGUAGAUAUCGAGAGGAACACCAGUGGCGAAGGCGAGUCUCUGGACGACUCCUGACACUGAGGCACGAAAGCUAGGGGAGCAAACAGG